AAGCCAGCCAAUUGGUCUGCUUAUGUGAAUGUGUUUCUGCAGAAAUGUAGAGAGAGCUGGCAAUGGUGAUGCCGUGUUAUGAGCCUUAAGGACAGUUGAGGUCGCUAAGGUCCCUGAAAAUGGCUACAAUA
rnacentral:snoRNA from 1 species